rnacentral:rRNA from 1 species
GGCCGCAGUAUUUUAACUGUGCAAAGGUAGCAUAAUCAUUAGUCUUUUAAUUGAAGGCUGGAAUGAAUGGUUGGACGAAAUACUAACUGUUUCAUUAAAAUUUUGUAUAGAAUUUUAUUUUUUAGUGAAAAAGCUAGAAUUUAUUUAAAAGACGAGAAGACCCUAUAAAUCUUUAUAUUUGAUAUAUCUUUAAUAAAUUGAAAUUUAUAUUAAUUUUAUUAUUAUUUAUUUUAUUGGGGUGAUAUUAAAAUUUAAUUAACUUUUAAUUUAAAAAAUCAUUAAUUUAUGUUAUUUUGAUCCGUUAUUAACGAUUAAAAAAUUAAGUUACUUUAGGGAUAACAGCGUAAUUUUUUUGGAGAGUUCUUAUUGAUAAAAAAGAUUGCGACCUCGAUGUUGGAUU